AGAGUUUGAUCCUGGCUCAGGAUGAACGCUGACAGAAUGCUUAACACAUGCAAGUCGACUCGAGUCUUCGGACUUGGGUGGCGCACGGGUGAGUAACGCGUAAAGAACUUGCCUCUUAGACUGGGACAACAUCUGGAAACGGAUGCUAAUACCGGAUAUUAUGGUUUCUUCGCAUGGAGGAAUCAUGAAAGCUAGAUGCGCUAAGAGAGAGCUUUGCGUCCCAUUAGCUGGUUGGUGAGGUAACGGCCCACCAAGGCAAUGAUGGGUAGCCGGCCUGAGAGGGUGAACGGCCACAAGGGGACUGAGACACGGCCCUUACUCCUACGGGAGGCAGCAGUGGGGAAUAUUGGACAAUGGACCACAAGUCUGAUCCAGCAAUUCUGUGUGCACGAUGACGUUUUUCGGAAUGUAAAGUGCUUUCAGUCGGGAAGAAGUCAGUGACGGUACCGACAGAAGAAGCGACGGCUAAAUACGUGCCAGCAGCCGCGGUAAUACGUAUGUCGCAAGCGUUAUCCGGAUUUAUUGGGCGUAAAGCGCGUCUAGGCGGCAAGGAAAGUCUGAUGUGAAAAUGCGGAGCUCAACUCCGUAUGGCGUUGGAAACUGCCUUACUAGAGUACUGGAGAGGUAGGCGGAACUACAAGUGUAGAGGUGAAAUUCGUAGAUAUUUGUAGGAAUGCCGAUGGGGAAGCCAGCCUACUGGACAGAUACUGACGCUAAAGCGCGAAAGCGUGGGUAGCAAACAGGAUUAGAUACCCUGGUAGUCCACGCUGUAAACGAUGAUUACUAGGUGUUGGGGGUCAAACCUCAGCGCCCAAGCUAACGCGAUAAGUAAUCCGCCUGGGGAGUACGUACGCAAGUAUGAAACUCAAAGGAAUUGACGGA
rnacentral:rRNA from 1 species